CUAAAAACUAAGUACAAUGAAAAAUAUUUAAACUAUCUUAUUCUAGAUUUAAAAACAGUUUUGGAAACAUUGAAAUCGAAAUCACUAGAUAUUUCAUUGAAGCGCGCGCAGCAUACAUCCAACGGGUUGUUUUGACCGUAUUGGGUUCGUCGCAGGGCAAGUCUAAGAAAAUCGCGCGUCCGGGUUGUUCUGAUGGGAGCAUUUAUAUACCAUUUUUCCGAUACAAAUGCCCUGUAGGAAAAAUGUACCUGUUUAGCCCGAUUUCAUCGUCUGAAUUGCCUGUAUUUUUUCGAAAGUUGGGUGGAACUUUCUAACUGGGAUAGCAUUUCUUCAAAUCGAUCGAUGCGCACUCUGGAAUCGGUAUUGCGUACUGUUGGAAAAAUUAUCCAACAAACGAAAUCGCGAGUCCAAUCUGAUAUUUACAAAGGAAUUCGUCGAAGGUUAAAACACAGACAAACAGACGGGACACUCCGUUUUCAUUCUUCGCAAAACUGAAUAGCUAGGCCAGGAAGCUAGGCAAUGUCGCCACCAGAUUGAGCCACUUCACUUUUAGGAGAUUCUUAUUUUCCAUCAUGGUAGCCGUAGCAGUUUGUUUAUUUUUUUCCUGACAACCAAAAUUUUCAUAAACAAAUUCCAUGUGAAAAGUAAAAGAUGUAACGCGAUGCAUGAAGCCAUUGCUCAAUUUCGCUUAAUUCAUUGGCCAAAAAAACAAUCUGAAUAUUUAAUACUUCGUGCUUUGCGAUGCUCUGUGGAAAAGGGGAAUCCUGAGGUGGACUUAUCUAUUCGUACUACCGGAUCCAGUAGUGAUAAACUCAAGCUCCUUCAAUUCAACAACAAACAAACAAACCUCCUGUGUCUAUUGAAACCGUAAUGUUUUUGAAUAUUACCAAUUCAUCGAAAAAUUAUUCAUGUUUUAGUGGUAAAUUUUACUUUCUAGAUUCAGUGAGGAAGCAAAUAUUUACUGUAUAGACUUAGAAGAAACCCCCUCCC